AAGCCCUUUCCUUCAAAAAACAGAGAGAACUCUCCCAAAUGCUUCCCCCCAUCCGGUCAGAGGGCGCCACCAUGGCUCCACCGCAGCCACCGAGCGCCGGCGCCGUUGACCGCCGAAUGAGGUUGCCGGAUUCCAUCGGAGAAAGGCCAUUUUGGCCAUUUCUCCUCCCUUAGUCCGUUUCUUGAGAUGAAAAAUCCAAAAAAGCAAAGAAAAAUAAUAAAAAAAACCCUUCCCCUUUUAAGCCCGAUUCCGACGACGGCGAAGGGACUUCCGUCGACGGAGCCACGGGGCGAAUCGGGUACGUUUCUCUUUUCCUUUCUUAUCCUUUCUUUUAUUACUAGUUUUAAAAUCAGAUUUUUUAAAAAGAAAUUUGAUAAAUAAAAUAAGUAAAUAAUUCGAAAAAAGAAUCGGAGAAGACAACAACCUUUGUUUCUAUUUCUGAAAUUCGUACAAAAAAAUGCCCAGAAGAACAUUACAGAGAUUGAGUCUAGGCUUUUAUAGCCGAACUAAAAGCUAAUAAUCGCUGUGAUUUCUUUUGUCUUUUUCUUUCUGUUUUUUUUCUUUUCUGUUUGCUGCUUUCUUUUGUUUUUCUCUUGUUGUCUUUUCUUGCAGAAGGGAGGGCCAACGAUAGGCCAGCAGCGACGGCAGUGUCAGAGGCGUGAUAGUGGCGUGCGGCGGCGCGAAGGGCACGCGAGGAGACCACGUGCGGUGCUGCGGCUGGGGCAGCAGCAUGCGGCGCCCUAGGGUUUCUUGCUGAAACUUUUUCUGAUUUUGUUGGGCUUGUUGGGCUAGGAUUUUUAGGGUUAGGUUUGGGCUUGUUUCUGUUUGCCUGGGCCCGGGCAAAAAUGGGCCACUACAAUAAAUAUUUUAUCUAUGUAAUUAUUUUAUAAAUAAAAUUUUGAGUUUAGAUGAGAUUGAAGAAGAAUUCCUACUAAUGUAUAAAAUAGCAGACGUUUACACAUAAAUAAAUAUUGGUCUACAUCUCACAUAGUAAUUUUAGGAGAUUCUUGUCUAUUUAUCUUCAUAGCCAUUCCAGGGCAGCAAACGAAAGCAAAUUAUCCUUUGAAAUAUUACACAACUUGCAUUACGCACAGUCUUGUGUCUGUUUAAUUCUUAUUCACUAUUAUUACAUGACAUGUCCACAG
rnacentral:lncRNA from 1 species